UGCCCCCACUCGCUCCCUCCCUCCCCCGUUAGCCUUGACUCAGGCUUGUUGCACUCUCUCAGCUGCUUGGCUGAACAGUGACUCUUGAUUGGUGGUUGAGAUGGAGAAGGAAGCCUUGGGAGUAUUUAUAGAGAUUCUCUCAUUUACCAGAACAAUAACAACCCUCCCCCACACCAAGAGAGAGAGAGAGGCAAACUGACUUUUGGUUUCACAUCUUCGGGGGGAAUGUGGCUUUUCCAUUCAUGUUGGUGGCACGUGGCAAUAAUAAAAGAAAACAGGCUUGAAGUAAUAUAGUUCAUUCAUGUGUUGAAUUAAGAUUCAGAGAGCAAACUUGUGGGAUUCUCUGGAGUUGCCCAAUUAGUUCCAAGCAAUUGUUUUAAGCAUUUUAUUCUAGUCUAAUUGUCUCCAGUGAAUGCAACAAGUUACAAAAAGUACUAAAUUAGUUGUUCAAAGUAUGAAUAUUAACAUUAACUGCCAGAGUCCAGAUCAUUUCCAGGUAUUAAAAACACAUUUUUGAUUUGUCUGAGAUAGGCAAACGCAUGCACUGUAUUACAGGAAUGGCUCCCAGUACCAGCACCAUAAUGAUGCAAGUGAAACCAAUGCAUUUAAAGGAUGUGGCAGCAUGUUCCUCCUAGUACUCAGUCAUAUGGCUCCACCUCUAUAAACCCACAUGUCUGCACCAGCCAUAAGGCCUGGUGCAGUGUUGACACGGCCAGUCACUGCUGGCAGAGACAGCGCUGGAUUAAUCAGGACUCACCAGAAAGCAGAGGACUAAUACAGAACAAUGAUGUUGAAGAAGAAAUAACAAGGAAGAGAAGUAAAUCAUAUCUGUUUACGAUCACAUCUUUUAACUACUAAUGCCAGGUUCUUUUUAAAAUUUAAAAUUUUAAUCUUUCAUUCUAAAUGGAUGAUGUUUGGUGGGUUUCAUGUAUUCAAAAGAGAAUUAAUGUACUGGGGGGAAAAAGUGGGUUGGCUAAUGCAAAUGAUAUGCGAUGAUCACAGAUGCAUUACUUCUGAGAGACUGACAAUGCACGCCCACAGCUGACACUCAGUGGAUCUCCUGCCUGCCAUUAUCUCUGUUGGGUAUGUGCAAGAGGGGAAAAAACAAACAGAGUUAGCAUGGUGUCUGGCCGCCAAAGGGAAUAUCUUGUUCCACUUCCUCGUUCCGCGAUUGUGGGUGUUACAUUUCUUCAAGCUUCUCCUCUACCAACAUGCAGGGAUGGGGACGGUUGUCAAGUGUUUCAUGAUCGUACAGGUGGUUCCUCUGUGGAUAACAACAGUGAUCCACUGCACUACACUCUGGGUGGGUGCUCUUGCUCCAAGGGGGCUCUCCACACAUUCCCAGACGCUGUUGAGGAGCAAUGAACAUUGGCCUCUACAGACUCUCUGUCGGUUUUUCUUGACGUGACGCGGAUGAUCUAGUCCAAUGACCAAACACUGUUUUCAGACAUUAAUUUCCGUUAAAUGUCCGCAAAGUUGUGUCUGGACAUUUUGUGAAUUCAUAUGUGAGUUUGCAUUUCACAUAUGACGAACACAGUUUGCAGUUUACAGUCAUCGACGUGCCCACUCGCUUCGCAGGGGAUUCUCCAAAGACUUUCCUGCUGUAUUCUCACAUGGACUCACUGGGACAUUCCCCGGAAAUUUGACUAGGGGGCUGGCAGGGAAAAACGUUCCGGACAAUGUUCGAGGCAACAUUUGCUUGGUUCAUUUGCAUUCUCACAUACAACCGCUUCUGGGGGAGUUCAAGGAAAUGUCCGUCACGUUGUUUUGCCUUCAUGCUGGCAGCACAGGUUGUCACAGUUGAUGUAGAGGGGAGAGCCAGCAUGGUCGGAAUGGACGCCAAAAGCGGCUGCGUUGCUAAAUGCCUGCACACUGUGUGCAUCACUGCGGCGGCAAUAUGCCAGCUUUCUUUGGUUUUAGUGUAAACAAGUAAAACCAGCAUGACGAGGGGUCGUCUUAGCAGCAAUAUAGCGGCACCUCUGUUAAAAACGAGUUGCACAUACAUUUUCUCACUUGCUCUUUCCCCUAGAAACACACACACACUCAUAUAAGAACGGAAAUCAAUAAACGGCUUAAGACAAGGUUUGCAGACGGUCAUCCUAUAAACCGUAUAGAUUACAGUCAGCGUUGCGGAUAAAUCUGUGAAACAUACACAGUAAAUAAGGAAAACAGCCUUUAAGCGGUGUCUAAUCACAACAACAAAUGCGAUAUUCAGCAUGAUUGCAAAUUGCAUCGUGGCAAAUUGGAUUCUUUAUUCAAAUAUCUUGGGUUUUAAAGAGACAGCGAUGUGACUGGUGAGCUCCUGAAGGGACGGACACAUUGCCUGUGCUCUGUAAAGAAGAAUGACACUAUCAGGAGCUUCUGGCUCUGUAAUUUAAAAAAAAAUUAAAGAUGGUUUUGAUGCAUUUUAAAAUGCAUCUUUGUCAUAUGGUCACAGACUGCAGUAAUCUUACACAACACAUAUGUCCGACUAAAAGAGAGUUUAUCACGGCACAACAACAAAAACUUAUGUUGAUUCUUUGUUUUAUUUGGACUGACUGGCUGGGUGAGUUUCUCAGAAAGCACCAACACCUGGGAGUGGCUUAUUAACACAAGCUUAAAG
rnacentral:lncRNA from 1 species